UGUUACCACAGGUGUGGGGUGAGUGCCAGGAGGGUUACAGAGCUGAGAGUUUCCAGGGCAAGAAUGGAGUUGCAGCCCCCUGUCUCCUCCUUUGAAGUUAAUGCUCUCCUCCCCUCAGGGAUGCUCCUGAAUUUUGCCAUUUCCACUCUAUGCUCCAUAGCUAAUCCUAUACUUUCUGUUCCUUAUAAACUCAUUCACUGAUUCCAGAAACGUUUACUGAGGACCCCGGCCCACCAGGACUUGACCUAGUGAUGGUUUCAUCUCCAGGCCAAACUGGAAGGAGAGCAAAGACCUGCCAUCACCGGGCUAAUGAGGGUGUUUUGUGUCUGUCUCUCCUGCAGAUUCUGAGCCCCGUCUCAGCAUCAUGGCCUCUGAGCCUGGACCACAGUGGCCUUUCAUCCGCAGAGCUCUCUGCACCCUUGAGGUUCUCCUGGGGCUUUCUGCCCACGUGCAGAUGUUUGCCAAAUCACGGAACAGGAACAGUCCAACUUUCAAGAGACGGGCAUGUCCUCCCUAUCAAUAUCACUGGCGACUCACACUCCUUGCUCAGGAAAUCACUUCAGGACCGCCUUUUCCAUUUGGAACUACGGAGAUCUGGGCUUUUGUCUGUUCUCUGGAAUUCUCUGGGGUCUUUCUGCUCCCUGCCUUUGUCACAGCACAGACCAUUCAGAAAGUCAGAGGAGGGCUGUGCAACAGAUAUCAGUUGGCCACUGUUGAUUCAUGGAGCUGCUGUGCUGACAGGGGCAUGGGUGGAGGGGUAGAAGGGGGCCUGCCCUGUAUCCUGCUGGCACUAAGCUGAUGGAUCCCUGCUGCCCACCCCCAGGGAUCGUCACACGUAGUGGGGACAGGCGGCUAGUGUGGCUCACCUGUUCACCCCCACACCCCAAGAAGCAGGCGUUUCUGUGGUGAACUCAAAGAUUCUGAGUUUAUGGUUUUGUGCUCAGUAUUACUUGACCAUUUCUCUUGACAAGCCCUUAGCAUGAUAAAAUAGUGACUCCUUCUGGUAAGCUGAAAACAAAGAGAAAUUUCCAUUUCCAAAGCCAGGCUCUUUGUUUGUGUUUUUGAACAACAAACAAGCAGGGGGCUCCAGCCUGCUGAGGUCACCCAGGGUCAUCCAUGGGCAUCGGUGACAUGAGGAAGCCUUUAAUCCGAGCCUAAGGGAUGCACUUAAUGAGGUCAAAGCAGCUGGACACUUCUCUGCAGUGGAACAUAGCUUGUACUAACAUUCGGUGCUAACCCUCCUAACUGAAAGUGUGGUCCAGGGACCAGGAGCAUCACCACCACCUGCGAGAUGGUUAGAAAUGCAGACGCUCCAGUCAAACACACCUGUUGAAUCGGAAUGUGCUCCUGAACAAGUUGCUCAGAGGACUCAUUCNNNNNNNNNNNNNNNNNNNNNNNNNNNNNNNNNNNNNNNNNNNNNNNNNNNNNNNNNNNNNNNNNNNNNNNNNNNNNNNNNNNNNNNNNNNNNNNNNNNGCUCCUGAACAAGUUGCUCAGAGGACUCAUUCGCUGGCUAAAGAGGUGCUACUUUCACAACCUUGAAGCUGAGGUCGGGGUAGGGAGGCAGGGAAGUGGACAUCACUCCAGCUGCUGAGAACAAGCCCUAGCUACUUAGUGGAGACAGAACCCUGCCGCUCUUACCCUCCUGCAGCCCUGAUGGGCGGCUGCCUUGGCCUUACCUUUUCCAGGUGAGGGUCAUGAUACACCCAAGCGCAUACAGCCAGGAUCUGGUUUCCCAGGGUCUCCCAAGCUCCUGAUCCGGGCCUGUGCUGAUGAAGAACAGUGGACACUGAGGGCUCCUGCCUCUCCUGCCUCUGGCUUCCUGUGCAGUGAGCCGAGGGUGGGAGGGGCACUUGGGGUCCCACCAAGAGCCUGGCUGCAGGAGGUCCCUGGGGCUUGGUGCAAGCAGAGAAGGGGAUGAACUCAGCUCACCUGCCCCUCUACAUCUUGUCCCAUCGUCUGUGAGGUGCCUGGACCCUGGGGGUGCCUGCUGGGGAAGAUCCUCUUCCACCUGUCACACCUGGGACUUGAGGCCACAAAUGGCCAAUUAGGUGAGACUUGGGCUCUGAGUGCACUGGGCCUCACAACUCCCUGGUUCCCAGGAAGCUGCAGUCCUGAGGCCAAUCUUCCCCUGACCCCCCUCGGCCCAAGGCAGGGGAGGCGGGAAGCCUGAGGUUCUCAGGAAGCAGUGGGGGGCCAGCAGGGGAGGAACACAAGUUAGAGGGACCCAGUGCGCCUCCUCUGAAAAGUCUCCCCAGGCAGCCGGUGUGAUCUGGCCUCAGCCCCUGCUCUCCUCCACCUCCACCCUGUGUAGUGAUGAGGAGGGUGGCAUGCAGGAAAUACUUCCCUGGGGCAGCAGCACAGCUGUCUCUGUGCUUCAUGGGGUCACGCACUCAGUCCAUAACGAGUAAAGGUAUCUGUUUAAAAAAUAUUUUAAUUUGGAAUAGAAAUAAAAACCAAAGGACAAAGGUAAAGACAGUAUAUAAAUAAAAGCCUGAAAAAGUUGUGUCACAAACAUUCUAAGAAAAGAAUGCUGAUGUGGCUCAAUAAUCAUUACACAAAGUAGGGUUCAGGGAAAAAAGUUUAUAAAGAGGC
rnacentral:lncRNA from 1 species